rnacentral:lncRNA from 1 species
UAUACUAGGAAUAAAGGAAAAGUAACUUGCAGAAAGUAAGAGAAAGCAUUCAUCAUUCUCCUAAUCCAAGCAGAAGAGGAAAUAGAAGCCUUCAGAUGACAGCCAGACAGCCUAUCAGUUUACAGAUGAGGGAACCAAGGUACUCAAAGAAUCUCUCACAAAGGAGGAUUGGAUACUGAUAAUGCUGUUGGAAAUUAUUGUUCAGGUAAGAGUUUAACUAGAUGGUAUUAGGCAUUCCUUAAAACUCUGAAAUUUUAUGAUCUGGCUCUUUAAAAUACACUUGGGGAAUUUUUUUGUAGUCAUUUUGGUUUUUUGCUGGUGCCGUGGAUAAAGUCCUGGUCUAAGGACUAGAAGUCCUGAGUCCAAAUUCUGUCUGAGAUAAUUACUAGCUCUGUCACCCUAAGCAAGUCUAAUA